GACCUGGUAGCACAACGGCUAGUGCACCUGCAUAUUGUGGAAUUUUCCCGCCUUAUGUUUCUGUAGAGAGUCUCCGUUCGACUCGGAGUCAGGUCA